CCUACGGGAGGCAGCAGUAGGGAAUCUUCGGCAAUGGGGGCAACCCUGACCGAGCAACGCCGCGUGAGUGAAGAAGGUUUUCGGAUCGUAAAGCUCUGUUGAAAGUCAAGAACGAGUGUGAUAGGGGAAAUUUCACACUGUGACGGUAGCUUACCAGAAAGGGACGGCUAACUACGUGCCAGCAGCCGCGGUAAUACGUAGGUCCCAAGCGUUGUCCGGAUUUAUUGGGCGUAAAGCGAGCGCAGGCGGUUUGAUAAGUCUGAAUUUAAAGGCUGUGGCUCAACCAUAGUUCGCUUUGGAAACUGUCAAACUUGAGUGCAGAAGGGGAGAGUGGAAUUCCAUGUGUAGCGGUGAAAUGCGUAGAUAUAUGGAGGAACACCGGUGGCGAAGGCGGCUCUCUGGUCUGUAACUGACGCUGAGGCUCGAAAGCGUGGGGAGCGAACAGGAUUAGAUACCCUAGUAGUC
rnacentral:rRNA from 1 species